AACUCGCGUUAAGGAUUAAAGUGGCAUCCUUUUGUCUUGGCUGUAUUUAGCAGCCUAAACAAAAGAUAUAACGGAAAGCCCGACACUUU
rnacentral:sRNA from 1 species